GGGCCCGCACAAGCGGUGGAGUAUGUGGUUUAAUUCGAUGCAACGCGAAGAACCUUACCAGGGCUUGACAUCCUGCGAACCUCUGGGAAACCGGAGGGUGCCUUCGGGAACGCAGUGACAGGUGGUGCAUGGCUGUCGUCAGCUCGUGUCGUGAGAUGUUGGGUUAAGUCCCGCAACGAGCGCAACCCACGUCUUUAGUUGCCAGCAUUUAGUUGGGCACUCUAGAGAGACCGCCGGUGACAAACCGGAGGAAGGUGUGGAUGACGUCAAGUCAUCAUGCCCCUUACGUCCUGGGCUACACACGUACUACAAUGGCAGUGACAGAGGGACGCUACCAGGUGACUGGAUGCA
rnacentral:rRNA from 1 species